rnacentral:rRNA from 1 species
GCUCGCCAAACCACUACGAGUGAAAACUUAAAAUUUAAAAGACUUGACGGUACUUCACCCAACCUAGAGGAGCCUGUCUAAUAACCGAUAACCCACGAUCAACCCAACCGCCACUAGCCACUCAGCCUAUAUACCGCCGUCGCCAGCCCACCUUGUGAAAGAAACCAAGUGAGCACAAUAGUCCCACACUAACACGACAGGUCGAGGUGUAGCUUAUGGGGCGGACAAAGAUGGGCUACAUUAUCUAAACCAGAUAAAACGGAAAAAGCCGUGAAAACAAGCCUUAUGAAGGAGGAUUUAGCAGUAAGAUGAGGACAUAAUACUCAACUGAAAACAAAGAAAUGAAGUGCGUACACACCGCCCGUCAUCCCUGUCACAACAAAAAAAUAUACAUAAACACACAACAUAAAUCAAAAACAGGGCAAGUCGUAACAUGGUAAGCGUACUGGAAAGUGUGCUUAGAAA